rnacentral:rRNA from 1 species
UACGGAGGGUGCAAGCGUUAUCCGGAUUCACUGGGUUUAAAGGGUGCGUAGGCGGAUAUGUAAGUCCGUGGUGAAAUCUCUGGGCUUAACCCGGAGACUGCCAUGGAUACUAUGUGUCUUGAAUGUUGUUGAGGUGAGCGGAAUAUGUCAUGUAGCGGUGAAAUGCUUAGAUAUGACAUAGAACACCAAUUGCGAAGGCAGCUCACUAAGCAAAUAUUGACGCUGAGGCACGAAAGCGUGGGGAUCAAACAGG